CCUACGGGUGGCAGCAGUGAGGAAUAUUGGUCAAUGGGCGCGAGCCUGAACCAGCCAAGUAGCGUGAAGGAUGACUGCCCUACGGGUUGUAAACUUCUUUUAUAAAGGAAUAAAGUGAGGCACGUGUGCCUUUUUGUAUUUACUUUAUGAAUAAGGAUCGGCUAACUCCGUGCCAUCAGCCGCGGUAAUACGGAGGAUCCGAGCGUUAUCCGGAUUUAUUGGGUUUAAAGGGAGCGUAGAUGGGUUGUUAAGUCAGUUGUGAAAGUUUGCGGCUCAACCGUAAAAGUGCAAUGGAUACUGGCAGUCUUGAGUACAGUUGAGGUAAGCGGAAUUCGUGGUGUAGCGGUGAAAUGCUUAGAUAUAACGAAGAACUCCGAUUGCGAAGGCAGCUUACUAAACUGCAACUGACAUUGAUGCUCGAAAGUGUGGGUAUCAAACAGGAUUAGAUACCCCGGUAGUC
rnacentral:rRNA from 1 species